AUAACUUUGCGAAAGCGAAGAUAAUACCUGAUAAGACUACAGUCUCUUAGGAGACAGUAGGAAAAGGUGGCCUCUGUCUCAUGCUAUCGUUUAUGGAUGAGCCCUCAUACUAUUAGCUUGUUGGUGAGGUAAUGGCUCACCAAGGCUACGAUGGUUAGCUGGUCUGAGAGGAUGAUCAGCCACACUGGAACUGAGACACGGUCCAG
rnacentral:rRNA from 1 species